rnacentral:rRNA from 1 species
UGCGCCCCCGGGACAGGCAGGGGCCCUAGACCCAAGGGAGAGAGGUUGAAGCCCCCGCCUCGGCUAACGACCGACGCGGCCGGAGCGCCCCGCCCGUCCCUUCUCCGCCGGGUGGCCAGUUUCCAAUUCCCACUCCCUGCGUACACCACCACUGUUGCUUCCCCGGGGGAUUAAACCACCCCGGGGGAGGUCCGCGAGCAAGCCGCGCAGCCCAACCCGAGGAAGCAACGACGAGCGAGGAGGCUAGACGAAAAAAAACAAAGAAAAACUUUCAACAACGGAUCUCUUGGUUCCCGCAUCGAUGAAGAACGCAGCGAAAUGCGAUAAGUAAUGUGAAUUGCAGAAUUCAGUGAAUCAUCGAAUCUUUGAACGCACAUUGCGCCCCCUGGCAUUCCGGGGGGCAUGCCUGUUCGAGCGUCUCUGCGACGAAAAACCUCGCGCAAAGUGAAGGCGCGGUCAUGGCGGCGGUGGCGUGCCCGAGGAGGCGGCCACCGCGCUGGAAUCCAUGGGCGGACGCCUGCCGCGCGGCCGAGCGUGAUAAGACGCAUGUGCGCCCGCGCGCGGCGAGGCUGCCAGCCCUUGCCCGUCAGUCUGGGCGGGGGACAGCUUGACAUUGGAACUCCUCGAAUCAGGUAGGGAUACCCGCUGAACUUAAGC